AGAAAGAAACUAUUGACUUCAACUCUCAACAUAUCAAGGCGUCUUUCCUUUUCUAAUACCUAUUUAUACCGGAAUUUUGAGUACUGGGAAAAUGUCAUAUUUGGUAAAGUAAAUUUAGUGAUUUAGUGAAAGUAAAUUUAAUAUUUUCGAGUCCGAUGAAAGCGUUAAACAUGGAGGCGGUUCCGUCCUAGUUUAGGGCUGUAUGUCAGCUUAUAGAAGGAAUAAUGAAUGCUGAUAUGUAUUUGAAUAUAUUGAAAGAAAAUCUCCACCCCAGUGCUGCUAAAUUGGGUCUGGAAAGGCGAUAAUUCAUUUUCCAACAAGACAAUGACCCAAAACAUACGGCCUGAACCCAGACGUAAACCCUAUAAAAAAUUUGUGGGCCCACCUUAAGCUCAAAGUCCGAGAAAACGAAAUUUCCUCGAAAAAUGAUCUCAAGCGGGUACUACUUUAGGAAUGGUCAAAAAUCUCGGAAGAUACGUGCCGAAAUUUAGUGGAAUCGAUGCCAAGACGCUUGGAAGCUAUUAAGAAAAAACAAAAUACUAAAGCCAAAAAAAUCCUUAAGAUUAAGUGCCUAAAAUAAAAUGCUUAAGGAUGUAA